GACGAACGCUGGCGGCGUGCUUAACACAUGCAAGUCGAACGGAAAGGCCCUGCUUUUGUGGGGUGCUCGAGUGGCGAACGGGUGAGUAACACGUGAGUAACCUGCCCUUGACUUUGGGAUAACUUCAGGAAACUGGGGCUAAUACCGGAUAGGAGCUCCUGCUGCAUGGUGGGGGUUGGAAAGUUUCGGCGGUUGGGGAUGGACUCGCGGCUUAUCAGCUUGUUGGUGGGGUAGUGGCUUACCAAGGCUUUGACGGGUAGCCGGCCUGAGAGGGUGACCGGGCCCAUGGGGGGGAGGGCGCGGCCCCGCGCCCGGGGGGAGGCAGGAGGGGGGAUCAGGGGCAGCGGGGGGGGGGGCGGAGGCAGCGGGGGGGGGGGGGGGAGGACGUGCGGGGUGUUGUAAGGCGCGGGCCCCGGUGGCGAAGGGGGGGGGACGGGGAGGGGGAAGAAAGCACGGGCAAAGAAGGGGCCAGCAGCCGCGGGAUAAUGGGAAGAGCACCCGGCUGAAC
rnacentral:rRNA from 1 species